CACUGACAUUAGAUACCCGUGUAGUCCAGGGUGUAAACGCUGCAGACUUGGUGUUGGAGGUCCCGUUUGGGGGCAUUCAGUGCCGGAGAGAAGUUGUUAAGUCUGCUACGUUGGGAGUACGUCCGCAAGGAUGAAACUUAAAGGAAUUGGCGGGGGAGCACCGCAACGGGAGGAGCGUGCGGUUUAAUUGGAUUCAACACCGUAAACUCACCAGGGAAGACUGUUACAUGAAGGCCGAGAUGAAGACUCUGCUAGAUUUUCAG
rnacentral:rRNA from 1 species